UAAAUAUGAAGUGGUUUAUCGCCUACAGAACUGAAUUAUCCCAUAGUAGUUAUCAGUUUGUGUCAAUUUGUUUAAAAAGACCCUACUCCCAAGGCUUUACAUUUUCAUUAAUUCCCCAUGCAAUACAUUUAAAUGAAUUAUUCAAACAAAGGCGAGAACAAUGGAUAAAAGCCAUAAGGAGAACAGAUCUAACAGAACUAAAAUUAAAAUAAAGUGGAAAGCCAGCCACUUUAGAGGACAUAAAUAAUGAAGAUUUGAUUCAAAACCAAAACAUGGGUUGCGAAAGCCAGACAAUAAAAAGAAAAGGUGAUCUACAAUCCGGAGAGCUGAUAAAAGAAGUAAAUAUAAAGAAAAUAAUGCUGAGACUUCUCUCGAUGAUGAACCAACACCAGAUAGUUUAAAUGUAGGGUAAGGAGUAACUGCUGGAACUCCAACACAAACGUGUUUGACUAGUGAAGAUUUGGAUAAACAACAGGAGUUACAGCUCCCGGAGCGAACCGUGUCCCGUGAGAGAAACCCUGUCUGUGUAAACAUUAGGUGAGUGGUUCGCUCCGGGAGCUGUACUU